UACGUAGGAGGCGAGCGUUGUCCGGAGUUACUGGGCGUAAAGGGUGCGCAGGCGGUGGCCUAAGUUUGCGGUGAAAGCUCCCGGCUUACCUGGGAGAGGGCCGUGAAGACUGGGGCACUUGAGGCGUGGAGAGGGACGUGGAAUUCCGGGUGGAGCGGUGAAAUGCAUAGAGAUCCGGAAGAACACCAACGGCGAAGGCAGCGUCCUGGCCACGAUCUGACGCUCAGGCACGAAAGCGCGGGGAGCGAACAGG
rnacentral:rRNA from 1 species